GACGAACGCUGGCGGCGUGCUUAACACAUGCAAGUCGAACGAUGAUGCCCAGCUUGCUGGGUGGAUUAGUGGCGAACGGGUGAGUAACACGUGAGUAACCUGCCCCUGACUCUGGGAUAAGCGUUGGAAACGACGUCUAAUACUGGAUAUGAUCACUGGCCGCAUGGUCUGGUGGUGGAAAGAUUUUUUGGUUGGGGAUGGACUCGCGGCCUAUCAGCUUGUUGGUGAGGUAAUGGCUCACCAAGGCGACGACGGGUAGCCGGCCUGAGAGGGUGACCGGCCACACUGGGACUGAGACACGGCCCAGACUCCUACGGGAGGCAGCAGUGGGGAAUAUUGCACAAUGGGCGAAAGCCUGAUGCAGCAACGCCGCGUGAGGGAUGACGGCCUUCGGGUUGUAAACCUCUUUUAGUAGGGAAGAAGCGAAAGUGACGGUACCUGCAGAAAAAGCACCGGCUAACUACGUGCCAGCAGCCGCGGUAAUACGUAGGGUGCAAGCGUUGUCCGGAAUUAUUGGGCGUAAAGAGCUCGUAGGCGGUUUGUCGCGUCUGCUGUGAAAUCCCGAGGCUCAACCUCGGGCUUGCAGUGGGUACGGGCAGACUAGAGUGCGGUAGGGGAGAUUGGAAUUCCUGGUGUAGCGGUGGAAUGCGCAGAUAUCAGGAGGAACACCGAUGGCGAAGGCAGAUCUCUGGGCCGUAACUGACGCUGAGGAGCGAAAGCAUGGGGAGCGAACAGGAUUAGAUACCCUGGUAGUCCAUGCCGUAAACGUUGGGCGCUAGAUGUAGGGACCUUUCCACGGUUUCUGUGUCGUAGCUAACGCAUUAAGCGCCCCGCCUGGGGAGUACGGCCGCAAGGCUAAAACUCAAAGGAAUUGACGGGGGCCCGCACAAGCGGCGGAGCAUGCGGAUUAAUUCGAUGCAACGCGAAGAACCUUACCAAGGCUUGACAUACACCGGAAACGGCCAGAGAUGGUCGCCCCCUUGUGGUCGGUGUACAGGUGGUGCAUGGUUGUCGUCAGCUCGUGUCGUGAGAUGUUGGGUUAAGUCCCGCAACGAGCGCAACCCUCGUUCUAUGUUGCCAGCGGGUUAUGCCGGGGACUC
rnacentral:rRNA from 2 species